UGCAAGUCGAACGAAGUAGCAAUACUUAGUGGCAGACGGGUGAGUAACAUGUGGGUAUCUUCCCUUUGGCCUGGAAUAACACGAGGAAACUUGUGCUAAUACCGGAUAAGUCUUUACGGAGAAAGCUUUAUGCACCAUUGGAUGAGCCUGCACUUGAUUAGUUUGUUGGUGGGGUAAUGGCCUACCAAGACUUUGAUCAAUAGCUGAUUUGAGAGGAUGAUCAGCCACAUUGGGACUGAGACACGGCCCAAACUCCUACGGGAGGCAGCAGUGGGGAAUCUUGCACAAUGGAGGAAACUCUGAUGCAGCGAUGCCGCGUGAGUGAAGAAGGCCUUUGGGUUGUAAAGCUCUUUCGUCGGGGAAGAAAAUGACUGUACCCGAAUAAGAAGGUCCGGCUAACUUCGUGCCAGCAGCCGCGGUAAUACGAAGGGACCUAGCGUAGUUCGGAAUUACUGGGCUUAAAGAGUUCGUAGGUGGUUGAAAAAGUUGGUGGUGAAAUCCCAGAGCUUAACUCUGGAACUGCCAUCAAAACUUUUCAGCUAGAGUUUGAUAGAGGAAAGCAGAAUUUCUAGUGUAGAGGUGAAAUUCGUAGAUAUUAGAAAGAGUACCAAUUGCGAAGGCAGCUUUCUGGAUCAUUACUGACACUGAGGAACGAAAGCAUGCGUAGCGAAGAGGAUUAGAUACCCUCGUAGUCCAUGCCGUAAACGAUGUGUGUUAGACGUUGGAAAUUUAUUUUCAGU
rnacentral:rRNA from 1 species